CCUACGGGGGGCAGCAGUGAGGAAUAUUGGUCAAUGGGCGAGAGCCUGAACCAGCCAAGUAGCGUGCGGGAUGAAGGCCCUUGUGGUCGUAAACCGCUUUUAUCAGUGAAUAAAGUGCAUCACGUGUGGUGUCAUUGCAGGUAGCUGAAGAAAAAGGACCGGCUAAUUCCGUGCCAGCAGCCGCGGUAAUACGGAAGGUCCGGGCGUUAUCCGGAAUUAUUGGGUUUAAAGGGAGCGCAGGCGGUUUGAUAAGUCUGAAGUUAAAGGCUGUGGCUCAACCAUAGUUCGCUUUGGAAACUGUCAAACUUGAGUGCGCGGAAAGCAGGCGGAAUUCGUUGUGUAGCGGUGAAAUGCUUAGAUAUGACGAAGAACUCCGAUUGCGAAGGCAGCUUGCUGUAGCGU
rnacentral:rRNA from 1 species